GGCGUGUUGCCUUGAAUCAGCCGCACUGAGCGGGGAGCGUGAGGGGAGCAGGUCUGGAUGAAGGCUGAUUAUUAUUCCUGGACUCAGACACUUGUGAUGAUGGCGGCCGAUGAGAAUGAAGAAAUGCGAAGCCUGGAGCUCAGUGGCCAAGUGGGGUUCAACAGCCUUCCUCAUCAAGUGGUCAGGAAGUUAGUUUCUCAGGGAUUUUGCUUCAACAUCCUCUGUGUAGGUGAAACAGGAAUAGGCAAAUCAACCCUGAUCAACACGCUUUUCAACACAACAUUUGAAAACGAGGAAGCUGAUCACUACGAGCCAGAAGUGAAGCUGCGUUCGCAGACGUACGAGCUGCAGGAGCACACUGUCAAACUGAAGCUGACUAUUGUGCACACUGUAGGCUUUGGAGACCAGAUCAACAAGGAUGAAAGCUGCAAACCCAUUCUUGACUACAUCGAAGCCCAGUUUGAGAAAUAUCUGGAAGAGGAGCUAAAAAUAAAACGUUCCCUCUCCAACUAUGAUGACACCAGAAUCCACAUCUGCCUGUAUUUCAUUGCUCCCACCGGGCAUACCCUUAAAUCUCUUGAUCUGGUUAUGAUGAAGAAGCUGGACAGCAAGGUCAACAUCAUUCCCAUUAUUGCAAAGGCAGACAUCAUGUCAAAGACCGACCUGGGAAACUUAAAGAAGAAGAUCAUGACUGAGCUGCAGAGCUACGGCGUGCAGAUAUAUCAGUUUCCGAACAAGGAUGAGGAAGUUGGAGAGAUAAACUCUUCCUUAAAUGCUCGCCUUCCCUUUGCUGUCGUUGGAAGCACGGAGGAUGUUAAAAUAGGGAACAGAAUGGUGAAAGCAAGGUCGUACCCCUGGGGAGCUGUUCAGGUGGAAAACGAAGAGCACUGUGACUUUGUUCAUCUGAGAGAGAUGCUUCUGCGCGUUAACAUGGAUGAUCUCCGGGAGCAAACACACUCUCGUCACUACGAACUCUAUCGCCGCUGCAAGCUACAAGAGAUGGGCUUCAAGGACACUGACCCUGACAGCCAGUCGUUCAGCCUGCAGGAGAUGUAUGAGGCCAAAAGAAGGGAGUUCUUCAAAGAGCUGCAGCACAGAGAGGAAUCAAUGAGACAGAUGUUUGUUAACAAAGUGAAGGAAACAGAAGCUGAGCUGAAAGAAAAAGAAAAAGAGCUUCACGAGAGAUUCGAAGUGCUGAAGCGCAUGCACCAGGAAGAAAAGAGGAAUCUGGAGGAGAAAAGGCGAGAACUGGAAGAAGAGAUGAAUGCUUUCAACAGGAGGAAGGUGGCAGCUGAAACGCUGAUGGGACAAGCGCUGCAGGGAUGUUCACAACAGCCGCUCAAAAAGGAAAAGGACAAAAAGAAGCCGACCUGCCAGACUGUCUCUCAGGCAAGGGCACUUGUGUUUACAUUUGACUUGUCUCAGCAGUGCUCAUGCCAUGUGCAACACAGAUGAUACCCAGACAUCCUACAUGGAGCUGGCAUCAUUUUUUCAGGUGAAAACAUGACGUGCCAGGGUGAAUUAUCAAUGCACAAACCGCAGAUACUAGAGACUGGAAUGAGCCAAACAACAACAACAACAACAAAAUAUAUCAAAAAGGUUUGUAAACAGAAGCAGUGGGUGGAAAUGAAAUGAAAACAAAAUGUCCAAGAUUCAGAUUUUUCACAAGCCAGAUUAAUAAGUCAAUAUUUUAUGAAAAUUAUUCAUUAGCUUCUUGAAAUUAAUAAAUUUAUGUUUUCUAAGACUACCAUGCCUUAUUGCUCAACGAUGGUGUUAUGACUAUAAGAUUUUUCAAGGUGAUAAACUUCAACAGCAAACUCUUAGCCUGAAAAAAACACACAGAAAAUCCAGAAUACUUCUGUUUGAUGUUACAUGUCUGUAAUGACAGCUGAGAUAUUUUAAAGCUUUUCCCAUAUUUUUAGAUGAAACAUGAGUGACUAUGGAAAACAUUGUAUAUGUUGACAUAAAGGUGAGAACAUUCAAGCAAAAUUCAGCUACCAUCAGUCUUCUUCAGUCUCCCCUCUGCGUGCUCCUUAAGCUCAGGAAGGAACCUGAAUUAGAAGACUUUUUAGCGCAUGAGAACAUCAGACUAACAAUCAAGUGUUUUUAUUUUUACAAUGUUUAAUAAAGAUUUUAUAGAACUAAAACAAGCUUCAAGGUGAGUCAACCUGAUGUCUUCAACGUCAUCUACAACUUUAUCUGCACACUUUUAAACAACGUGCUGUGGCAUUGUCUCUGCAUGGCUCCUGAACUUGAUUCCUGCAAGUACUAAGAUGUCCGCUUCGCCAAAAUGUGUUUUGUACUACAGUGCCUUGCAAAAGUGUUCAUACUUCUUGAAGUUUUCCAAAAAUUGUUUAUGUUACAGCCACUAACUUCUGUAUCUUUAUCAUGCUAUUAUAUUAUAUAAGAGCAAUGCAAAGUAGAACAUGUUGUGAUGUGGAACGGAAAUUAGACAUGGUUUUCAAAUUUUGUUUCUUUUGCAAAUAAAUAUCUGUGGUGUGCAUCUGUAUUUAGCCCUUUUAAGGUCAAUAUGUUCUAAAGUAGCUUUGUGUUGCUGGUAUGGCUUCUUUGCAGAUCUAAAAUUCAAAAAUUUAAACCUGUUCAAACUCAAUCAGAUUGGAUGUGCCUGCUGUGUUCCUUUGUCUGCAAAAGGAUCUUUGUUAUUAACUAAUGUUUUCUAAAAAACUAAGCAUCGGAGCACCAUGCUUGAGACGGUGUUAGCCAUGGGUCGGACUCUUUGGAUAAUCAGGACUUCUGAAGGAACUGGCUGCAGUGAAUUUUAUUAAGAAAUUCUAGAGUAAAGAAACACAUGCAACACUUUUUAUUUUUUAUGAAACGCUGAAACCAUGCAUCAUUUUCCUUAAACUUUAGAAUCAUGUGAUAUUUUGUGUUGAUCUAUCACAUAAAAUCCCAUUUAAGUUUGUGGUUGUAACAUAACAUAUUGAAAACUGAAUACUUUUGCAAGACAAAUUUAAUGUGUAAUCAUCCUGUUCUUGCCUUGUAUUGCUUGUAAAUGGAAUGUUAAAAAAUUCACUGUGAGAUAUAUAAUACCCUCAUGUGCUAAUGCUGUCAAAUGACUUCUUGUUUGUAGUCAUGUUAUGAUUUAGAAGCACUUUAAAUGAACUGUAGUUCAGAAACUAUAUUGAUAUAUAUUUAAAACAAUGAAUGGUGUCUUGCUAUUCAAACAUUUAUAUUCUUAUAUAAUUUCUUAAAGAUGUAUAUGUAAUAUGUAAGACUUUAAACUAGAAAUGUUGAGUAUGCUGUUAUAACAUAAAAAGACUGGAUUUGAAUAAAUGCAGGAUUAAAAUCUCCUAAAUCCUGAUGCCAGAUUUGUGUUGACUUGAUCACUUCCAGAUUAGAAGUGUGAUUUAAUAAAAAUUUUUCUUUUGAAAUGCA